GAAGAGAAGUGUUUGUGUUAGAGAAGGUACCUCUGGUGGACAGACUGGGUGAGGAAGAGAAGGGUUUGUGUUAGAGGAGGUACCUCUGGUGGACAGACUGGGUGAGGAAGGGAAGGGUUUGUGUUAGAGGAGGUACCUCUGGUGGACAGACUGGGUGAGGAAGAGAAGGGUUGUGUUAGAGGAGGUACCUCUGGUGGACGGACUGGGUGAGGAAGAGAAGGGUUGUGUUAGAGGAGGUACCUCUGGUGGACAGACUGGGUGAGGAAGGGAAGGGUUGUGUUAGAGGAGGUACCUCUGAUGAACAGACUGGGUGAGGAAGAGAAGAGAGGUGAGAGGUAUAAGGAGAGGAGAGGGGAGGAGAGGAGAGGGAUGGACAGAGAGAGAAGAGAGGAGAGAGAGGAGUGUAGAGAGAGGUGUAAGGAGAGGUGAGGAGAGAAGAGAGAGAGAGGUGUGAGAGGAGAGGUGAGGUGAGAAGAGAGAGAGGAGUGUAGAGAGAGGUGUAAGGAGAGGUGAGGUGAGAAGAGAGAGAGAAGAGAGAGAGAGGUGUAAGGAGAGGUGAGGUGAGAAGAGAGAGAGGUGUGAGAGGAGAGGUGUGAAAAGGCAACCAGCAGUGCGACUGGAGAGAUCGUGAUUUUUGUCCUUCUAUCCGUUAGUUCAUUUUCCUCUUCCUGGAGCGCAUUCGUCUCCUCCUCUGCCGAAACAGGUGGCGGAAGUUGAUGAACAGACCUGG